rnacentral:rRNA from 1 species
AACGCGAAGAACCUUACCUGGGUUAAAUCACAGCGGAAUGGCACAGAGAUGUGUCCGCCUCGCAAGAGGCUGUUGUGAAGGUGCUGCAUGGCUGUCGUCAGCUCGUGUCGUGAGAUGUUGGGUUAAGUCCCGCAACGAGCGCAACCCUUACCGCUAGUUACCAUCAUUCAGUUGGGGACUCUAGCGGAACUGCCGGUGAUAAACCGGAGGAAGGUGGGGAUGACGUCAAGUCAUCAUGGCCUUUAUGUCCAGGGCUACACACGUGCUACAAUGGCCGGUACAAACCGCCGCAAACUCGCGAGAGGGAGCCAAUCGGAAAAAACCGGUCUCAGUUCGGAUUGGAGUCUGCAACUCGACUCCAUGAAGUUGGAAUCGCUAGUAAUCGCAGAUCAGCACGCUGCGGUGAAUACGUUCCCGGGCCUUGUACACACCGCGAGC